GCCCAAUUGGUCUAGUGGUAUGAUUCUCGCUUCGGGUUUAUCCCGGCUGUUCAACAGCCUGCAUGUGGGAGGUCCCCGGUUCAAACCCGGGAUUGGGCC